UCCUCUGUAGUUCAGUCGGUAGAACGGCGGACCGUUAAUCCGUAUGUCACUGGUUCGAGUCCAGUCAGAGGAGCCA
rnacentral:tRNA from 2 species